rnacentral:rRNA from 1 species
CCUACGGGAGGCAGCAGUAGGGAAUAUUGCUCAAUGGGGGAAACCCUGAAGCAGCGACGCCGCGUGGGGGAUGAAGGUUUUCGGAUUGUAAACUCCUUUUGUUAGGGAAGAUAAUGACGGUAUCUAACGAAUAAGCACCGGCUAACUCCGUGCCAGCAGCCGCGGUAAUACGGAGGGUGCAAGCGUUACUCGGAAUCACUGGGCGUAAAGAGCGCGUAGGCGGGAUAGCAAGUCAGAUGUGAAAUCCUAGGGCUUAACCAUAGAACUGCAUUUGAAACUGUUAGUCUAGAGUAUGGGAGAGGUAGGUGGAAUUCUUGGUGUAGGGGUAAAAUCCGUAGAGAUCAAGAGGAAUACUCAUGGCGAAGGCGACCUGCUAGAACAUAACUGACGCUGAUGCGCGAAAGCGUGGGGAGCAAACAGGAUUAGAUACCCGGGUAGUC